rnacentral:pre_miRNA from 1 species
AAGGGGAGCACCAGAUCCUGGACUGUGUCCCCCAGGGCCCUGGGCUCCUGGGUCUGCGCUGCGGGAAGCCCGUUCCUGGGGCCGCGCAGCCCCUC